rnacentral:piRNA from 1 species
UGGAAGCCAUUACUUAAGUGUUGCUC